GAUGAACGCUGGCGGCGUGCCUAAUACAUGCAAGUCGAGCGAAUGGAUUAAGAGCUUGCUCUUAUGAAGUUAGCGGCGGACGGGUGAGUAACACGUGGGUAACCUGCCCAUAAGACUAGGAUAACUCCGGGAAACCGGGGCUAAUACCGGAUAAUAUUUUGAACUGCAUGGUUCAAAAUUGAAAGGCGGCUUCGGCUGUCACUUAUGGAUGGACCCGCGUCGCAUUAGCUAGUUGGUGGGGUAACGGCUCACCAAGGCAACGAUGCGUAGCCGACCUGAGAGGGUGAUCGGCCACACUGGGACUGAGACACGGCCCAGACUCCUACGGGAGGCAGCAGUAGGGAAUCUUCCGCAAUGGACGAAAGUCUGACGGAGCAACGCCGCGUGAGUGAUGAAGGCUUUCGGGUCGUAAAACUCUGUUGUUAGGGAAGAACAAGUGCUAGUUGAAUAAGCUGGCACCUUGACGGUACCUAACCAGAAAGCCACGGCUAACUACGUGCCAGCAGCCGCCGUAA
rnacentral:rRNA from 1 species